UCCUCCAAGGAUAGGAUAUUCAGAUCUUUGGCUUCUUGGAUUAUGGUCAUUUUGGCCUUCCAAGUCUUUCGUAAAGACCUAAGAAUCUUUCUCACGAGAUCACUGUUAGAAUAAGACUUACCAAGACUUUUUAGACCAUUAAUAAUAUCAGUAAAAUGAGUAAAUAUUUUAGUUAUUGAUUCAUCAUACUUCAUUUUAAAAAGUUCAUAUUUAUGCACAAGCAUGUUAAUUUUUGAUUCCUUCACUUGAUUAGUUCCUUCAUGAGUUACUUCCAUUGCGCUAUCGGAACCCAACAGUAUUUCACUAGG
rnacentral:lncRNA from 1 species